CGAAGUCAAAUUCAUAUCCAAUCUUCAAGAGCAUAAGCAAAAUAUCCAGAAGUGUUUUAUCAGAUUUAAAGAAAAAUAGAAAUGAGCCCAAAAUAUAGCUUCUGGCAUAAAUUUCACAAACCAAUUAAAUCGUUUAACUAGAGAAAGCUUUAACAAAUUUGACAUAUGCAGUCAAGGAAUACCUUCUUACUCAAAAAUAUUAAAGGAGAAUAAUGGACAACAGUCCCAAGUUCAUAAUGUAAAACUAUGAUUUGAAAAAAAAAAAAAAGA
rnacentral:misc_RNA from 1 species